GGGGGAUGUCCGGCUUCCCCACAGGGCUGGUAUGCAUGGGAUGCUUGGGUUCUAGGAGCUGACAAAAAGGGUCAGAGGUAGGACGUAAGACACCAGCCGUGUGCCUUUCCUACACCCUGCAGAGAAAUGGCUCUGUCCCAGCCGGCUUCCCUGCGCUUCCUGGGUAAGCCACCCAUUUUGUGUGCUGUCAUCAGAAGGAACGAAGAUCGACUCUAAUUGUUCAGCAGAAGGCAAGGAGAGAUAGAGAAGCCCCAUGGCCCAGACAGCUGGGCCUGUGAGAGACGGUUGUCCCCCACCGUCCCUCUCCAGUUUCCACUCUUUACAAAGAGAAAAGGAAUGAACGGGGUCAGCAAAAGCCAGAGGCUGUGUUUAAGCUGUCUGAGCUGCUGAGCCAAGCGGACAGUGCCUGCCUGACCAUUUGGGACACCCACAGAAUCCAGGGCCCCUCUCGGAGCAUUCAGGGCUGAUGGCCAAGGCUCCAGGGGAAACCAGUCGCCUCAGAGAGUCCUCACACCUCCCUGUUCGGAAGGAAUCCGCUUGGCAACCUUGAUCUUCUAGGGACCUGUCUGCUUGGGGAUUUCCUGGAGGGGAGCCCUUUGAAUUUGGUGCCCAAAGCUCUACAUCAAGUCCAGAAGUCACUUCUCCUGCAUGAAACUUCCCAUGUGCCUAACACUUCCCAUCUGCCCCGUCGGAGCUGGACCGGUACUAAUGCAGAGAAAGGAAAACCUACAUCCCCACAAAGACCACAGAAGUUCGUGGCAGCCUUACUCACAAUAGCUGCAGGCUGGAAACAACCCGAAUGCCCCCAAACGAGGGAACCGGUCAACAAUCUGUGAUUUAGCCACACGAUGGACUAUUACUCAGCAAGAAAAAGGAAAGAACCGCCUACAGACACAACGAUAUGGCUGAAUCUCGAAAUUAUGGGGCAGAGAGGAAAGACAUGAGGGUCCAAACUAUAUGUUGAUAUAGAUGGGCAAAUCUGGUCUACGGAGACAGAAAGCUGAUCGGUGGCUGCCUGGGGCAUGGGAAGAAGACACACGGGAACAUUUUUGGCCGAUGGAAAUGUUCUCUGCCUUGAUUACUGUGCUGGGUACACAGCACAUAUGUUGAGGACUUCUCAAGCAGUACAUCUAAAACGGGUGCACUUUACUGUAUGUAAAUCAGUCCUCAAUAAAGUUGAUUUAAAAAGUCA
rnacentral:lncRNA from 1 species